rnacentral:sRNA from 1 species
UCGUUGCUCCGCGGUUGGUCCUUGAUUUUCGACAACUGAAUUUUCAACUUAGCGUCUAUACGUGGGAGGGAGGCAGUCAGAGAGAGAAGACUAGGUAGAAGUAGAGUGUGAGUGGGUUGAUGUUUUCUCUAUUGUUUUCGGCCAGCUGCUCAUUUGCAGAAGAACCCCCUUUCUCUGUUGAACCAACGAUCUCAAGUCUCAAACAGGUUGGUUGUACUGAGGCUUAUUUGCAUUUUGUUUCGAAGCGCAAAAUUGAAGCUUGAUUUGGAUUUUGCAUAAAUACAAGUAUAGUGGCGUGGAUCACUCUUACACUGCCAAAUAUGUCUUGCAACCCUUUUGGAGUAGCUUCGUUAAAAUCUUUCCCCUUUGGAUGCCGACUGGGCACAGGCUGGAGGAGUUGAAGGGUCGGGAUUCCUGGGAUUGGGACUCCAGGGGCUUGAGGGAUUCAGGGUCGAAGGAGAGGACGGCGACGGCAUGGCCUUGGCGGAGGGAGGCAGGGAUGUCGAGCAAGGUGGCGGUUUCGCCACAAAAAAAAAAAAAAA